CAAUUGGUCAGCUAUAGAGAAUCAAGAAGACCUGCUUUCAUUUUCUUGAUCUUCCCCAUUGAUUUUCGCACACCUAUGGACGUUAUCAUUCAGUUGCAGCGACAGAUUGCUGAUUACAGAGCUUCUCUAUAUCGAGAGGGAUAUGUGGACGAUCAGUUUACUCAGCUGCAGAAGCUGCAGGACGAGAGUAGUCCUGAUUUUGUGGUGGAGGUUACUUCUCUUUUCUUUGAAGAUUGUGAGAAGCUUGUUAACAACAUGGCCAGAGCUCUGGAACCACGGGCUGUGGAUUUUAAACAGGUGGAUUCUCAUGUUCAUCAAUUGAAGGGUAGUAGUUCUAGCAUGGGUGCAGCAAGAAUUAAAAAUAUAUGCAUUGCCUUCAGAACCUAUUGCGAGUCCCAAGACCAUGAAGGGUGUUUGAGAUGCCUUCAACAAGUGAAUCAUGAGUAUUCUCAAUUGAAGAUCAAACUUCAAACUUUAUUCAGGCUGGAGCAGCAGAUUGUCGCAGCUGGUGGAUCAAUUCCUGUGAUUCAAUGAGUAAUACUGAUUUUAUCCCCUACCAACACAGACAGAAAAAUUGAAGGAUUGAUAUUAGAGAUACGCUUUUUAUGGCAGCAGACCAGCAGUUUAGGGUUUGAACUUGAGCUACUUUGACAUCAUGAAUAAAUGUCAGGGUCAGGGAGCGACUAUGUGAAUAAACAUUUCUUUGAUCAGGUUGCCUU
rnacentral:misc_RNA from 1 species